GCCUACACAUGAAGUCGAGCGGAUGAGAGGAGCUUGCUCCUUGAUUCAGCGGCGGACGGGUGAGUAAUGCCUAGGAAUCUGCCUGUUAGUGGGGGAUAACGUUCCGAAAGGAACGCUUAAUACCGAAUACGUCCUACGGGAGACAGUGGGGGGAUCUUCGGACCUCACGAUAACAGAUGAGCCUAGGUCGGAUUAGCUAGUAGGUGAGGUAAUGGCUCACCUAGGCGACGAUCCGUAGCUGGUCUGAGAGGAUGAUCAGCCACACUGGAACUGAGACACGGUCCAGACUCCUACGGGAGGCAGCAGUGGGGAAUAUUGGACAAUGGGCGAAAGCUGAUCCAGCCAUGCCGCGUGUGUGAAGAAGGUCUUCGGAUUGUAAAGCACUUUAAGUUGGGAGGAAGGGCUCUUGGCUAAUACCCAGGAGUUUUGACGUUACCGACAGAAUAAGCACCGGCUAACUCUGUGCCAGCAGCCGCGGUAAUACAGAGGGUGCAAGCGUUAAUCGGGAAUUACUGGGCGUAAAGCGCGCGUAGGUGGUUUGUCAAGUCGGAUGUGAAAGCCCCGGCUCAACCU
rnacentral:rRNA from 1 species